GGGGAUUUAGCUCAGCAGGCAUAAGCGCCUGCCUUGCAAGCAGAUAGUUGUGAGUUCAAUCCCCG
rnacentral:tRNA from 1 species